AGCGAACGCUGGCGGCAGGCCUAACACAUGCAAGUCGAACGAACCUUUCGGGGUUAGUGGCGGACGGGUGAGUAACACGUGGGAACGUGCCUUUAGGUUCGGAAUAACUCAGGGAAACGUGUGCUAAUACCGAAUGUGCCCUUCGGGGGAAAGAUUUAUCGCCUUUAGAGCGGCCCGCGUCUGAUUAGCUAGUUGGUUGAGGUAAUGGCUCACCAAGGCGACGAUCAGUAGCUGGUCUGAGAGGAUGAUCAGCCACAUUGGGACUGAGACACGGCCCAAACUCCUACGGGAGGCAGCAGUGGGGAAUCUUGCGCAAUGGGCGAAAGCCUGACGCAGCCAUGCCGCGUGAAUGAUGAAGGUCUUAGGAUUGUAAAAUUCUUUCACCGGGGACGAUAAUGACGGUACCCGGAGAAGAAGCCCCGGCUAACUUCGUG
rnacentral:rRNA from 1 species